rnacentral:rRNA from 2 species
UGCCUAAUACAUGCAAGUCGAACGAACUCUGGUAUUGAUUGGUGCUUGCAUCAUGAUUUACAUUUGAGUGAGUGGCGAACUGGUGAGUAACACGUGGGAAACCUGCCCAGAAGCGGGGGAUAACACCUGGAAACAGAUGCUAAUACCGCAUAACAACUUGGACCGCAUGGUCCGAGCUUGAAAGAUGGCUUCGGCUAUCACUUUUGGAUGGUCCCGCGGCGUAUUAGCUAGAUGGUGGGGUAACGGCUCACCAUGGCAAUGAUACGUAGCCGACCUGAGAGGGUAAUCGGCCACAUUGGGACUGAGACACGGCCCAAACUCCUACGGGAGGCAGCAGUAGGGAAUCUUCCACAAUGGACGAAAGUCUGAUGGAGCAACGCCGCGUGAGUGAAGAAGGGUUUCGGCUCGUAAAACUCUGUUGUUAAAGAAGAACAUAUCUGAGAGUAACUGUUCAGGUAUUGACGGUAUUUAACCAGAAAGCCACGGCUAACUACGUGCCAGCAGCCGCGGUAAUACGUAGGUGGCAAGCGUUGUCCGGAUUUAUUGGGCGUAAAGCGAGCGCAGGCGGUUUUUUAAGUCUGAUGUGAAAGCCUUCGGCUCAACCGAAGAAGUGCAUCGGAAACUGGGAAACUUGAGUGCAGAAGAGGACAGUGGAACUCCAUGUGUAGCGGUGAAAUGCGUAGAUAUAUGGAAGAACACCAGUGGCGAAUGCGGCUGUCUGGUCUGUAACUGACGCUGAGGCUCGAAAGUAUGGGUAGCAAACAGGAUUAGAUACCCUGGGUAGUCCAUACCGUAAACGAUGAAUGCUAAGUGUUGGAGGGUUUCCGCCCUUCAGUGCUGCGUGUAACGCAUUAAGCAUUCCGCCUGGGGAGUACGGCCGCAAGGUUGAAACUCCAAGGAAUUCACGGGGGCCCGCACAA